UUUUAAAGAUUGUUUAUCUUGAGGUAAACAAGUGACUGAGUGGCUUAAACCAAAAUUGGCUGCGUGAUGCAGCGGCUCGCACAGUACGCAUUGCGUUUGUCGCCUCCGUAAGAUAUUUCAUCUACAGCUUGUGAUUGUGACUCAUCAGAUCCAGAAGAUUCUUGCCUAAAGAGCCCCAACUACGCUAUAUUCCUAAGGAUAUCUGGAAAACCACAGGAUGAAGUUCAGCUACUAUCAAGUAAAGAGUAGAGCGGCGACAACAAUCAGGACAAUAGUGCGUGGAAAACAGUUGCCGCUACGCUAUUAAAGCACAACACAAAAUUUACGUCAAAAAUAUUUACAUUACAGAUGGAAAAGUUGUUGAGACUUUUCAGGCGCCGGAAGGAAAUCUCGCACUCGGCGGAGCCAACGUUCGAGACAUCGCGUGUAGCCGUGAGAGCCAUCAUCGACGGUUUCGUGAACGAGGACCCGGACGUCGCUCAACACGACGAGGCCGUCGUUCGCCGGAGGGGUCGGCAGACCACGGUCACGGACAAGUCACAGCAACCCUACUGGCAGAGCCAAAUUGAAACUUUCGUGGUGGCAUCCAGAAACCGCGCGGAAGAACUAUUCCAGAAGGCAGAAGCGUCCCACAGCGAACCCCUCGCGGACGCGUACAGUUACUUAUUGCAAACGAUGGACAGAGACGGUGUCGAAAGAGGCAAUACAGACGAGGCCAGGUGGCAGAAGUUGGGAGACUACGAGGUUCGGGCGUGGUCCAGCCACCCUAGAGAAUCAUCGCACAACUAUCCGCCCAAAGGCCCACCAUAGAGCUGGAGAAUAAUUUAUAAUUCGUUCGCAAUCACAAAACGCAAUAUAUUCAAAUCUAAAUCGUAACCAAACAAUAUUAGACUAGAUACCAUGCAUCUACCAGUGAAAUCAUAAGAACCAGCUUCCAAAUGGACGAAAGUGUUAAUUUUUACAAUAGAUGACUGCCUAAUCUUAAUAUUUAAUUUCAUCGGUCAUUUAUCAGUUUCUAAAAAAAAAAAAUGUUUCAUACAUUAUUGCUAUGGUGAAAAUACUGACAUUGAUGUGGCCAAUAGAUGCGGGGGAGGACUAUAUCCAGUGAGAAAUACUAGCAAAUUCCUUAGCGUCACUAGCGCGACGAGACUGACAUAAGCUAGAAAUACCUAUUCUCACAGAUUAGUUAGAUAUAGUCGUGAAACUAUCAUUUGAAAUGUCAUAGGAGAUGUCAUUUGAAUUUCAAUAUUUUAUCUUAGAUAGUCAGACCAAUCAAAGUCGCAAGGUUAAUUGAAACUCCGAAAAUAUCUACCAGAUUAAACAUCCUAAAAAUAGCUAUAAUUAUGAGUAUAUUGAAAUUAUCUAUUAUUUUUAUUACUUCAUAAUCAAUAUUAGAAUACAUGUUACAAAUUUAGAAAUUUAGCAUAAUCAUGAAAACAGGGAAGUGUUUCGAAUAGCAUUAUUUAACAACUAUAAGUACUCUUAGUCAAGUAUAAUACAUUAAAUUUUAACACAUGAUUUUUUA